rnacentral:ncRNA from 1 species
UCGUCUCAGGAGAGACCGCACCAGCGGCACCGAAGGAGCAAUUGCCACACUCUCUCAGGUAAACGGACUGGGACAG